rnacentral:snoRNA from 1 species
AUGAUUGCAACUCUGGGGUCUGACUUGUGAAGAUACUGACCUGCGAUGA